UGGGGAAUUUUGGACAAUGGGCGCAAGCCUGAUCCAGCCAUGCCGCGUGCGGGAAGAAGGCCUUCGGGUUGUAAACCGCUUUUGUCAGGGAAGAAAUCUUCUGAGUUAAUACCUCGGGAGGAUGACGGUACCUGAAGAAUAAGCACCGGCUAACUACGUGCCAGCAGCCGCGGUAAUACGUAGGGUGCAAGCGUUAAUCGGAAUUACUGGGCGUAAAGCGUGCGCAGGCGGUUUUGUAAGACAGAGGUGAAAUCCCCGGGCUCAACCUGGGAACUGCCUUUGUGACUGCAAGGCUUGAGUGCGGCAGAGGGGGAUGGAAUUCCGCGUGUAGCAGUGAAAUGCGUAGAUAUGCGGAGGAACACCGAUGGCGAAGGCAAUCCCCUGGGCCUGCACUGACGCUCAUGCACGAAAGCGUGGGGAGCAAACAGGAUUAGAUACCCUGGUAGUCCACGCCCUAAACGAUGUCAACUGGUUGUUGGGAAGGUUCCUUCUCAGUAACGUAGCUAACGCGUGAAGUUGACCGCCUGGGGAGUACGGCCGCAAGGUUGAAA
rnacentral:rRNA from 1 species